AGCUUCACACAGUGGCAGUAUUGUAGCCAAUGAGGUUUAUCGGAAGUGCUAUUAUUGCUAAUUGAAAACGUUCCCAAUUCCCUGACGUGACAACCUGCAAUAUAGUUGGCACUGGCAUUCAUAAAAAAUAAAAGAAA
rnacentral:snRNA from 13 species